ensembl:lncRNA
AACCGCAAUUAAUAAGAACCCCACCCAAUGGCAAACCACGGCCAUGGGAAGGCAAACCAAUGGGAACCCACAUCAAUGGGGAGCCAAGACAAUUAAUGAGAAACACAAUUAACGGGGGUUAAAUUAAUGGGAACCCUAAUUAAUGGGAACCCAAUUUAACGAGAACCCCAAUUAAUAAGAACGCCACUCUGUGGCAAACCACGGCCAUGGGAAGGCAAAGCAAUGGGAACCCACAUCAAUGGGGAGCCAAGUCAAGAGGGGACCACAAUUAAUGAGAAGCACAAUUAACGGGGAUGAAAUUAAUGGGAACUCUAAUUAACGAGAACCCAUAUUAACGAGAAUCCAAAGUAAUGAGCACCCAAAUUAAUGAGAGCCCAAUUCAUGGCAAAGCUCAUUAAUGGGAAUGGAAAGGAACGAGAACCCACAUCAAUGGUGAGCCAAGGACCCCAAUUAACAGCAACCCCAAUUAAUGGGGACUUAAACUAAUGGGAACCCAAAUUAACGAGAACCCCAGUUAAUGAGAACCCACUUAAUGGCAAAGCUCAUUAAUGGGAAUGCAAACAAAUGAAUCCCUUCAUUCAAUGACAACCCAAAGCAAGAGGGGACCCCGAUUAACGGGAACCCGAAUUAAUGGGUCUUAAAUUAAUGGCUACCCCAAUUAAUGAGACCUAAAAUUAAUGAGACCUAAAAUUAACGAGACCUAAAAUUAAUGAGAACCCAAUUAAUGGCAAAACUCAUUAACAAGAAUGCAAACCAAUGAGAACCCUCAAUCAACGGCAACCCAAACCAAGAGGGGACCCCAAUUAAGGGAAUCCCAAUUAAUAGGUCAUAAAUUAACGGCUACCCGAAUUAAUGAGCCUUAAAUUAAUGGUUACCCUCAUUAAUGAGACCUAAAACUAACGAGAACCCCAAUUAAUGGCAAAGCUCAUCAAUGGGAAUGUAAACCAAUGGGAACCCGCAAUCAAUGGCGACCCAAACCCAGAGGGGACCCCAAUAACGGGAAUCCCAAUUAAUUGGUCAUAAAUUAAUGGCUACCCGAAUUAAUGAGUCUUAAAUUAAUGGUUACCCUCAUUAAUGAGACCUAAAAUUAAUGAGAACCCCAAUUAAUGGCAAAGCUCAUCAAUGGGAAUGUAAACCAAUGGGAACCCGCAAUCAAUGGCGACCCAAACCCAGAGAGGACCCCAAUAACGGGAAUCCCAAUUAAUGGGUCAUAAAUUAACGGCUACCCCAAUUAAUAAGACUUAAAUUAAUGGUUACCCUAAUUAAUGAGACCUAAAAUUAACGAGAACCCCAAUUAAUGGCAAAGCUCAUCAAUGGGAAUGUAAACCAACGGGAACCCUCCAUCAACGGCGACCCAAACCCAGAGGGGACCCCAAUUAAGGGAAUCCCAAUUAAUGGGUCAUAAAUUAACGGCUACCCCAAUUAAUAAGACUUAAAUUAAUGGUUACCCUAAUUAAUGAGACCUAAAAUUAAC